rnacentral:lncRNA from 10 species
GAUCCGUCCGCCUCGGCCUCCCAAAGUGCUGGGAUUACAGGCGUAAGCCACCGCUCCCGGUCAAAAAUUCUCCUUUAUUCUUUGAGAGGGACAUAACACUAAUAAUCCAGAACCUAGUGUAUAUCCGUUAGUUUGCUUCACCUCAUCUUCUUAAAAGUCCUGUAUUAAAAACCAAAACCUCUAGCUUUUAUAUCUGUAUUGGUAGAGGACAGAUUUGGGGUGAAGAUUCUGGUAUCCAAAAUUACGUGAGCAAUUUAACAAAAAGACAACAAAAACAAUAAGCAAUUUAAUUUCAAUCUCAGUAGAAUUCAGAGAAAGGCAAUUAACAAAUGUCAGUUUUCUUUUUUUGGGGGGGUGGGGGGGGACAGGGUUUCACUUGUUGCCCAGGCUGGAGUGCAGUGGCGUGAUCUUGGCUUACUACAGCCUCAAACUCCUGGACUCAAGCAAUGCUCCCAGUUCAGCCUCCUGGGUAGCUGGGACUACAGGUGUGCACCAUCACUCUGAGAGGAGUUAGCUAGCUUUCCUUAGGUAGACAGCAAGGGAAGGGUCCCCAAAGAGCCCCCAACCCACGGGUCAGUGCCUCAUCCCCACAGAACAGAGAAAGCAGCCUGGGGAUAAAAAUCAAGCUGCAGGCACCGAUAAGGGAAGUAGCACAGGGUGGUGGUGUGCCUGGAGACAAGCCCGCGGCUGCACAGAUCCGAGAACCUCCAGCCCACUUAGAUAAAAACUUGCACAAACCUCCAGCUCACUCAGAUAAGGGAACAAGACCUGACAUAGAAAUGUCUUUGUCUUUUGUAUAAUCAGCAGGUUCCCGGGAAAAAGUUUCUUCUCCUUUCGUGGGCAUUAAUACUGUGGGCUCCGACGACUCCGAUGGGCACUUUCCUUUCCUCUUUCGACUGUGAGCCCGGCCUCUAAGAAUUACUUCAGCACGAUUGGUCCCCGGGCCAAGCUUUCACUUCAGCUCCUGAUAGGUCCCGGGCCAAGCUGAGUGGUCUCAAUGAAUCAUCAAUUCAGCUCCUGAUUGGUCCCGGGCCAAGCUGAAUCUAGCUUUCUCCAAGACAGCUCACAGACUAAGCAAAUUCCUUCCCCUUCCCAGUCCGCAAAAACCCCCGACCCCAACCUCAUAGUGGGCAACCCGUUCAGGCCCCCACUCUCCGCUGCGGAGAGCUUUUUUUUUUUUUUUUGAGACGGAAUUUUGCUCUUGUUGCCCAGGCUGAAGUGCAACGGCGCGAUCCUCAACUCACCGCAACGUCUGCCUCCCGGCUUCAAGCGAUUCUCCUGCCUCAGCCUCCCAAGUAGCUGGGACUACAGGCGUGUGCCACCACGCCCAGUUAAUUUUGUAUUUUUAGUAAAGACAGGGUUUCUCCAUGUUGGUCAGGCUGGUCUUGAACUCCGGACCUCGGCCUCCCAAAGUGCUGGGAUUACAGGUGUGAGCCACCGAAUCCAGCCGAGAGCUUUCUUGUUUUGCUUACUAAACUUUUGCUCCAACCUCACCCUUGUGUUCGUGCUCUGUGACACAAAGAACUCCGGAUACUAUCUCAGACAACCAAAGACUGCUACAUUUUGGCGCACUGGUGAGACUACAACACCUUGCUAAUUUUUGUAUUUUUGUAGAAACAGGUUUUCACCGUGUUGCCCAGGCUGGUCUUGAACUCCUGACCUCAAGCAAUCUGCCUUGGCCUCCCAAAGUGCUGGGAUUACAGGUGUGAGCCACCACAUCCAGCAGAAGGUCAUUCUUCACCUAUCAAAAUGGCAAAGAUAUUUUAAAAAGAAAAGAUAAAAAUUGGCAAAGUUCAGGGAAAUUGCUGAUGUGUAAGUGAUUGUGUGAAACUGUUCUGAAGGGUUACAUGAAAUACAUAUUCAAAGCCUUCAACGUGUGCCUACUAUUUGACCUAAAUAUCUCAUUUAAUAUUUUUCCAAAGAAAAUAAUUUAAGGGUCAAAUGUUUUAGAGUAUUUAGGAUAUUUACUGCAACAUUGUUUAUAAUAGCAAAAAAGAAAUACUAGAAAAAGCUUCACUGUACAGCAACAAAUGGUUAAAUAUAUAAUGUAUAAUCUAUACAAUAGCAUGCAGUAGGUCUCUUAACUCCACUUAACACAUUCACAAAACUCCCCAGGGCGCAUCCCUCCCCAUUAGCCACCUCCCAUCAUGUCAUAGGUAGAUAUGCAAAAUGCUAUAUUGAAGGGCCAGGUAAAUCUCAGUCAGGAUGGCAUUACGGCAUGGAGAGACAAGUUAUUAUAGUACAGCACAUGCUUGAUUCCAUGAGUCAAACUGCAUGCUUCCAAGAGAUAGUUGUGUUCGCUCCUGUGACUAUUUCAUGCCAGAGGUGCUUGUUGACACUGUGAUUUCAAUAAACAUUACAUAAACUAAUAUAAAAAAAUUGCUUGAGACAGGGUCUUGCUGUCACCCAGACUGGAGUGCAGUGGCAUGAUCAUAGCUCACUGCAGACUCAAACUCCUGGACUCAAGCAAUCCACUCACCUCAGCCUCCUAACUGGGACUACAGGUGCACACCACCAUGCUCAGAUAAUUUUUUAACUUUUUGUAGAGAAAGGGUCUCACUAUGUUUCCCAGGCUGGUCUCAAGCGAUCCUCCCAUCUCAGUCUCCCAAAGUGCUGGGAUUACAGGCAUGAGCCACCACUGUGCCUGGCCUAAAAAUUUUUUGUUAAAAAUGCUUUCCACCGGCCGGGUGACACUGUGAUAUUCGGUAUGACCUCCCUUGCUCUAUU